GACGAACGCUGGCGGCGUGCUUAACACAUGCAAGUCGAACGGAAAGGCCCUGCUUUUGUGGGGUGCUCGAGUGGCGAACGGGUGAGUAACACGUGAGUAACCUGCCCUUGACUUUGGGAUAACUUCAGGAAACUGGGGCUAAUACCGGAUAGGAGCUCCUGCUGCAUGGUGGGGGUUGGAAAGUUUCGGCGGUUGGGGAUGGACUCGCGGCUUAUCAGCUUGUUGGUGGGGUAGUGGCUUACCACGGCUUUGACGGGUAGCCGGCCUGAGAGGGUGACCGGCCACAUUGGGACUGAGUACCGGCCCAGACUCUUACGGAGGGCAGAAGUGGGGAGAAUGCCACAUGGGGCGAAGGCCUGAGGCGGCAACGCGGCGUGGGGGAGGACGCCUUUCGGGUUGUAAACCGCUUUCGCCUGUGAGGAAGCGUGAGGAAGGUUAAUGGGUAAGGAAGCACCGCCAAAUAACUG
rnacentral:rRNA from 1 species